GCACUGCUGACGAGUCCCAAAAAAAAACAGAACGAAACAGCUGUCCAGUGC
rnacentral:hammerhead_ribozyme from 1 species